CCUACGUGAGGCAGCAGUGGGGAAUAUUGGGCAAUGGGCGCAAGCCUGACCCAGCAACGCCGCGUGAAGGAAGAAGGCUUUCGGGUUGUAAACUUCUUUUCUCAGGGACGAAGAAAGUGACGGUACCUGCUGAAUAAGCCACGGCUAACUACGUGCCAGCAGCCGCGGUACUACGUAGGUGGCAAGCGUUAUGCGGAUUUAUUGGGUGGAAAGGGCGUGUAGGCGGGAGCGCAAGUCAGAUGUGAAAACUCAGGGCUCAACCCUGAGCCUGUAUUUGACACUGUGUUUCUUGAUUGCUGGAGAGGCAAUCGGAAUUCCGUGUGUAGCGGGGAAAUGCGUAGAUAUACGGAGGAACACCAGCGGCGAAGGCGGAUUGCUGGACAGUAACUGACGCUGAGGCGCGAAAGCGUGGGGAGCAAACAGGAUUAGAUACCCCGGUAGUC
rnacentral:rRNA from 1 species